UUUCAUUCGGCUUUUACUCCCUCCUGCUCACAUAGUAACUCCUCCCCCCUCUGCUACCCAUUGUCUCUCCAUACAGUAUCAGGCUGAGGGAAUGCCAUUCUGGCUCCAGCGAGGGACGCAGGAGAAGGAGAAGAAGGUCCUGUGACAUGCAACUGUUUAAGGUGGACCCCGCCCUCCUCCGAAGCAUGUUCACCAGAGAUUUGCAGCAACUUUAAAGAGUGUCAGUCCAAUAUGUGACAAUGACACCACUAUUGUCAGUGUUCACCCUACAUGGAAACAAUCGAGAUGAGGUAGAAGAAGAGCACAGUGACCUAGCAAUCAGGUUCUGGAGGUUUGGGGGAGGGGAAAGAAUCCAGGUCCGAUCUCUGGCAGCUGGUGGAGCUGCGCUGUCAGAGCAGGCUUCAUGAUUACGUGCAGUGUUUGUAAGUCAUCAGAGAAGAGUUUAACUGUUCUUGCUCCCACUGGAAUGAGCAGAGCAUCCCCUGUGGCCCUGUAGUCAGGAUUAGGAUCAAUGGUAGGCUGGUGUUAAUUCGCUUAACUGGUGGAUUUAAAAUUCUGUACAUUUUUCUCUUUGGAUGACACACUCUGCCUUCCCAACUAAAAUUGUAGGUCAUUUUUGGAUGAGAAUCAAUCAAAGGUUCCACCUUUUCCACAGAGAACAUUAGUAUCACUCAAAUGACUUCAGAGAGAAGUCAUUGUGGUCUUUCAUGCUUUUCCAUCUUAUUUCACUUGUGGUUUUAGCAGCUUCAUUAACUCAGGUAAAAUGGGACAGAAAAGAGAUUUAACUGAAAAUGAGAAGUCAAAAAUUGCAAAAUGUCUUUUGGAGGGAUGCAACACUCUUGAAGUAGCUAAACUAUUGAGACGUGACCACCGGACAAUCAAACGUUUUGUUGGUGGUAGUCAACAGGGUCGCAAAAAACGCAUAGAAAGGAAAAGACGCAAACUGACAACAGAAGACUUGAAAAGAAUUAAAUGUGAAGUUGCCAGAAACGCAUCAUCCUCCAGUGCCACUAUAUUCCUGAAUUGCAACCUACCGGGAGUGUCCAGAAGUACAAGAUGCCAAGUGCUCAGAGACAUAGCCAAAGCAAGGAAGACUACAACCACACCUCCACCGAGCAAGCCUUACAAGUGGAAGCGGCAAAAUUGGGCCAAGAGGCACCUGAAGAAGAAACAGAGAAGAAAUACAUAUACAUUUUAAGUGUAUAGAUUGAUGAGUUGUCUUGCUGGAGCAGAUGGACAGGCCAGUGGCUGGAUCACUAAUGGACUUAAGAUGUGUCAUUUCACAAUUUGAUGUUUCAGUAAACAAUAGAACUGUCUGUAGAAAUAGAGGCAAAAAAAAGUAGGCUCUGUAGUUGUGAUUGCCUGCUUCAUUCAGUCUGCUGACUAUGUGGUUUAUUCUUCUACUUCCAGAGUUGCCAUUGAAACAUACUUGAAGGACUUACUUCCUGGCAUUGAGGACACACCCACAGUAAUCUUGCACGUAACAACACUAUAAGACAAGUGCACACUUCAUAUUCUCAAAGCAUUAUAAAUGAGGUGCUUCAGUGUGCAAAUACACUUGAAGUGGCAACCACUGGAGGUCAAUCAAGGGUGUCGGAGUGAGACUCAUCCUGUAUACACACACACACAUAUAUACUAGUUAGAACCACUACUCUGCAGAGAAAUAAGGUAGAAUUAUACACUUUAUCCAUCAAGACAUGGAUUUUACUUUAUUGCAUUGUGGCCCUCCUGCCCCUUUGAGAGGAGUAAUUUACUAGCUUGAUGGGGGGUCCAGUAUCUAUAAUGACCUUGUUUUAACUUGUAUUUGCUCACGGCAGCGUUGUUUGCCGCUGUAUAACAUGUAUAUUUCUUCACAUUAAUCUUGGUGUGGUAUACCUUGUAUUAUAAUGAUUUUCAAUAAAGGGAUGUUUUACAUCCUUUAACAGAC